rnacentral:rRNA from 1 species
GACGAACGCUGGCGGCGUGCUUAACACAUGCAAGUCGAACGGUGAAGCGCCUUCCUUUUUGGUCGGUGUUUAUGAGCGGCGAACUGGUGAGUAACACGUUAGUAUCCUGCUCCGUCUUUCUGGAUAACCGCAUGCCAGUGCUGCUACUACGGGAUAUUCUGAGCCUCUCGCAUGAUUGGUCUGGGACAGUUUUUGUUUCGGUGGGGAAUGGGCUCGCGGCCUAUCAGCUUGUUGGUGAGGUGAUGGCCUACCAAGGCGAUGACGAGUAGCCGGCCUGAGAGGGUGGCCGGUCACAGUGGGAAGGAGACACCGAGAAGACUCCGACGGGCGGCAGCAGGGGGGAAUAUUGCACGAUGGACGCAAGGCUGAUGCAGCGACGCGGCGUGGAGGAUGGAGGCCUUCGGGUUGUAAACCGCUAUCGCGAGAGAAGCAGGCCUGCAUCGAUUGUGCGUGGGUUGACGGUAGCUAGACAAGAAGCGCCGGCUAACUACGUG